rnacentral:rRNA from 1 species
GCAUAUCAAUAAGCGGAGGAAAAGAAACCAACCGGGAUUGCCUCAGUAACGGCGAGUGAAGCGGCAAGAGCUCAAAUUUGAAAGCUGGCCCCUCCGGGGUCCGCGUUGUAAUUUGCAGAGGAUGCUUCGGGUGCGGCCCCUGUCUAAGUGCCCUGGAACGGGCCGUCAGAGAGGGUGAGAAUCCCGUCUUGGGCAGGGUGCCCGUGCCCGUGUGAAGCUCCUUCGACGAGUCGAGUUGUUUGGGAAUGCAGCUCUAAAUGGGUGGUAAAUUUCAUCUAAAGCUAAAUACCGGCCGGAGACCGAUAGCGCACAAGUAGAGUGAUCGAAAGAUGAAAAGCACUUUGAAAAGAGAGUUAAACAGCACGUGAAAUUGUUGAAAGGGAAGCGCUUGCGACCAGACUCGGCCCCGGGGUUCAGCCAGCACUCGUGCUGGUGUACUUCCCCGGGGGCGGGCCAGCGUCGGUUUGGGCGGCCGGUCAAAGGCCCCAGGAAUGUAUCGCCCUCCGGGGUUGUCUUAUAGCCUGGGGUGCAAUGCGGCCAGCCCGGACCGAGGAACGCGCUUCGGCACGGACGCUGGCGUAAUGGUCGCAAACGACCCGUCUUGAAACACGGACCAAGGAGUCUAACAUCUACGCGAGUGUUCGGGUGUCAAACCCGUACGCGCAGUGAAAGCGAACGGAGGUGGGAGCCCCCCCGGGGCGCACCAUCGACCGAUCCUGAUGUCUUCGGAUGGAUUUGAGUAAGAGCGUAGCUGUGGGGACCCGAAAGAUGGUGAACUAUGCCUGAAUAGGGCGAAGCCAGAGGAAACUCUGGUGGAGGCUCGCAGCGGUUCUGACGUGCAAAUCGAUCGUCAAAUUUGGGUAUAGGGGCGAAAGACUAAUCGAACCAUCUGGUAGCUGGUUCCUGCG